rnacentral:rRNA from 1 species
GUGCCAGCCGCCGCGGUAAUACCGGCAGCCCGAGUGAUGGCCGAUCUUAUUGGGCCUAAAGCGUCCGUAGCUGGCUGCGCAAGUCCGUCGGGAAAUCGACGCGCCUAACGCGUUGGCGUCCGGCGGAAACUGAUUGGCUUGGGACCGGGAGACUCGAGGAGUACGUUCGGGGUAGGAGUGAAAUCCCAUAAUCCCGCACGGACCACCGAUGGCGAAAGCACUUCGAGAAAACGGAUCCGACAGUGAGGGACGAAAGCCAGGGUCUCCAACCGGAUUAGAUACCCCAGUAGUCC